rnacentral:rRNA from 1 species
GAUGAACGCUGGCGGCGUGCCUAAUACAUGCAAGUCGAGCGAACGGACGAGAAGCUUGCUUCUCUUCUGUUAGCGGCGGACGGGUGAGUAACACGUGGAUAACCUCCCUAUAACACUGGGAUAACUUCGGGAAACCGGAGCUCAUACCGGGCAAUAUUUUGAACCGCAGCGUUCAAAAGAGAAAGACGGUCUUGCCGUCACUUAUACAUGGAUCCGAGCUGCAUUAGCUAGUUGGUAAGGUAACGGCUUACAAAGGCAACGAUGCAUGCCCGACCUGAGAGAGUGACGGCCCACACGGGAACGGGACCACGCUCCAGACUCCUAGGGGAGGCACCAGGAGGGAAUCUCCGGAAAGGGGCGAAAGCCUGACGGGGCAACGCCGCGUGAGUGAUGAAGGUCUUCGGUUCGUAAGACUCGUUUAUUGGGGAAGAAGAUAUGUGUAAGAAACGGUAGACAGAUUGACGGUACCGAAAUAGAAAGCCACGGCUAACUACGUG